GGUGAGUAAUGUCUGGGAAACUGCCUGAUGGAGGGGGAUAACUACUGGAAACGGUAGCUAAUACCGCAUGACGUCUUCGGACCAAAGUGGGGGACCUUCGGGCCUCACGCCAUCAGAUGUGCCCAGAUGGGAUUAGCUAGUAGGUGGGGUAAUGGCUCACCUAGGCGACGAUCUCUAGCUGGUCUGAGAGGAUGACCAGCCACACUGGAACUGAGACACGGUCCAGACUCCUACGGGAGGCAGCAGUGGGGAAUAUUGCACAAUGGGCGCAAGCCUGAUGCAGCCAUGCCGCGUGUAUGAAGAAGGCCUUCGGGUUGUAAAGUACUUUCAGCGAGGAGGAAGGCAUUGUGGUUAAUAACCACAGUGAUUGACGUUACUCGCAGAAGAAGCACCGGCUAACUCCGUGCCAGCAGCCGCGGUAAUACGGAGGGUGGCAAGCGUUAAUCGGAAUUACUGGGCGUAAAGCGCACGCAGGCGGUUGAUUAAGUCAGAUGUGAAAUCCCCGAGCUUAACUUGGGAACUGCAUUUGAAACUGGUCAGCUAGAGUCUUGUAGAGGGGGGUAGAAUUCCAGGUGUAGCGGUGAAAUGCGUAGAGAUCUGGAGGAAUACCGGUGGCGAAGGCGGCCCCCUGGACAAAGACUGACGCUCAGGUGCGAAAGCGUGGGGAGCAAACAGGAUUAGAUACCCUGGGUAGUCCACGC
rnacentral:rRNA from 2 species